UACGUAGGGGGCAAGCGUUGUCCGGAAUCAUUGGGCGUAAAGCGCGCGUAGGCGGCCCGGUAAGUCCGCUCUGAAAGUCCAGGGCUCAACCCUGGAAAGCGGGUGGAUACUGCCGGGCUAGAAUCCGGAAGAGGCGAGUGGAAUUCCUGGUGUAGCGGUGAAAUGCGCAGAUAUCAGGAAGAACACCAAUGGCGAAGGCAGCUCUCUGGGACGGUACUGACACUGAGACGCGAAAGCGUGGGGAGCGAACAGG
rnacentral:rRNA from 1 species